UUUAUAAGUACUAAAGACAGACGUGAAUUGUGAAUGAUAACAAACGUACUGAUAGGUAGCAAGACGGCAGCCAUUUCAUGCGUAUCACAAAGUUGCUGUCAUCACUAUUUAUUUUGUCAUGAUGCUUCACACAGUCACGUAUUUGUGUUUAAAAACAAUUUAGAUUGUCCCGUCUAUGUUGGGAAAAGUAAAGUCAAUGUUUGUUUUCACAUCCUGUGUGGAUCUGGCAUAAUACGGGUUUUCACGUAGGAAACGAACGCAAACUGUUUUCUUUUUGUUUAGUUACUGAUAUUACAUAAUAUAUUACGAAUUAUGAAGCUGUUAAGUUAUAAGUUUAUAAGUUCGAUAAUGAAUUAACCGGUCCAGGAAAUAAAGUUGCGGAUACAACAAUUUCAAAAAUGUAUCAAAAACAAAUCAAGAUUGGUAACACUCAAAUACGAUGUUGAAUAUCAUAAUUUGGCUACUCAAGAAGAAGUUGAUCGUUGAACUGAAGACACCGACGACAUUAUCAUUUUUUAAAAAUGUAGUUUUCCCGGCGAUCAAUAAGCUACAUGUCUCCUUAAAAACAAGAAUAUUGAAUUGCAUACCAGCAACAAAUCACGAUUCAGCAGAAAUAAUCAUAUUUAAGGAUGAAUGGAAUAAACUUUUCCUGAAUAUUGAAUCGUGCUUUGUGGCAGCUCAUGGACUUGCCUUCAGUAAUGAGGAAAAUUGAAAGAAGUGGCAAUUAUUUCCUCGCCGUCCAUUACUGACACUGUUAGGGAAUUUGAACUACGUGCAAAGCCAAGCUGUAAGGUCAAAUCUAUUAAAGCAUCAGUGAAUAAUGAACUACAAAGUACUAUUGGAGGUGAGAUUAAUAGCUGUCUGGAGUUUCGGUGAACUGGCUGAACUGGAAAAUGCCUCUUGCCCAUGCUUGCUAUGGUCUAAAAAUUUACAGAUGGCAGUUUGGACCAGAAAUUAUAACACACUAAUAGAGCUAGUCUAGCUGUAUUAAAUUAUAAUUGUGUGGUGUUUUUAAAGCACCUUUUAAGUCUUCUGUCGAUGUGUUAGAUUCAUCUACAAUAUCGCCUUAUUGGAAACCAUCAAUUGACAUGUUAGUUAAUCGAAAAGAUUUAGGAGUUUGUAUGAUAAAUUAUUAUUUAUAUAAUGAAAUUAAGUAGGUGGUAUUAAAUGGUUAAAUAGUGUAGGGGUUUUUGACCACAGCUUGUAAGUACUGAAGAAUGCUGUCUGGUAUCCAUACACCAUUCUUCAGUACUGUGAUCAAAAACCUCUGCACUUUUUAAACUUUCAAUACCAUCAAUACCGCCAACCUUAGUUUAAACUCCUAAAUACUUUCAUGUAAUUAAUAUAUCAACAGAUGGUUUGCAUCUGUUAAUUAUUGGGUUUUAUAUGCUGUUAACUAAUAUUCUAUUUUACAUUAUUUUAAACUUGUAAUAAAUUUCCUACAAUGGUUAUCGGAAUAAAUAUAAUCCCCCUCAUGAAAGAAUAUGAAUCAUGGAAUAAAUCAACAAAAUAAAAUAUUUUGAUAAAUUAAAAUUUUAAAUUAACAAAUAAAUAAUAUACUAAUAUGUAUUUAUAUUU